UACGUAGGGAGCAAGCGUUGUCCGGAAUCAUUGGGCGUAAAGAGCGUGUAGGCGGUCCGGUAAGUCCGCUGUGAAAGUCGGGGGCUCAACCCUCGAAUGCCGGUGGAUACUGUCGGGCUAGAGUGCGGAAGAGGCGAGUGGAAUUCCUGGUGUAGCGGUGAAAUGCGCAGAUAUCAGGAGGAACACCUAUUGCGAAGGCAGCUCGCUGGGACGGUACUGACGCUAAGGCGCGAAAGCGUGGGGAGCGAACAGG
rnacentral:rRNA from 1 species